UACGUAGGGUGCAAGCGUUGUCCGGAAUUAUUGGGCGUAAAGAGCUCGUAGGCGGUUUGUUGCGUCGGCUGUGAAAUCCCGAGGCUCAACCUCGGGUCUGCAGUCGAUACGAGCAAACUAGAGUGUUGCAGGGGAGACUGGAAUUCCUGGUGUAGCGGUGAAAUGCGCAGAUAUCAGGAGGAACACCGGUGGCAAAGGCGGGUCUCUGGGCUGUAACUGACGCUGAGGAGCGAAAGCAUGGGGAGCGAACAGG
rnacentral:rRNA from 1 species